UAUGCUGGACACCUGGUGCCAUCUGCUUCCCUCCAGCUGUUCUCAUCAGGGAGACUGGGGUGGCUCUGUUGCAGCCACGACCUGAGCACCGUUUUGCUUGUGCUGCUGCAGCCCACACUGCUCUGCCUUCAGUGAAUGAAACAAGAGAGGAGCAAGGACCUUUGAGCUCAUUUGGGGAUAUCUUGUACCUACUACAGUGAGGGAAUUGACUUCAACCGCCAAAGCCAAUUCUGGUGAAGCUUCAACACGGCUGAGUAGGUGCUAAGCAAAGCUGUAUUCAAGUGAACUGAAUUCAUUAGCACUAGAGAAAAUCAAGGACUUUGUCUGAGUCCUUAUCAAAAGCAUUUGUCAGGAUGAUCUGUACAGGAAAAGCUACUGGAUGAUAAAGAAUUAAUGGAA